AUGAAGGAGAAUAAAGAAAAUUCAAGCCCUUCAGUAACUUCAGCAAAUCUGGAUCACACAAAACCAUGUUGGCACUAGGAUAAGAAAGACUUGGCUCAUACACCCUCACAACUGGAAGGACUUGAUCCAGCCACUGAGGCCCGGUACCGCCGAGAGGGCGCUCGGUUCAUCUUUGAUGUGGGCACACAUUUGGAGCUACACUGAUACCCUGGCAACUGGAAUAAUUUAUUUUCAUGGCUUCUAUAUGUUUCAUUCCUUCAAGUGAUUCCCAAGAUAUAUGACAGGAGCCUGUUGCCUCUUUUUGGCUGGGAAAGUAGAAGAAACACCAAAAAAAUGUAAAGAUAUCAUCAAAACAGCUCGUAGUUUAUUAAAUGAUGUACAGUUUGGCCAGUUUGAAGAUGACCCAAAGGAGAAAGUAAUGGAUCUGGAGAGAAUCUUACUGCAGACCACCAAGUUUGAUUUACAGGUGGAACAUCCAUACCAGUUCCUACUCAAAUAUACAAAGCAACUCAAAGGUGAUAAAAACAAAAUUCAAAAGUUGGUUCAAAUGGCCUGGACAUUUGUAAAUGACAGUCUCUGCACCACCUUGUCACUGCAGUGGGAACCAGAGAUCACAGCGGUAGCAGUGAUGUAUCUCGCAGGAUGUUAGUGCAAAUUCAAAAUACAAGAAGGGACCUCCAAACCCAUAUAUAGGAGAUGGUGGGAGCAGUUUGUUCAAGAUGUCCCAGUCGACGCUUUGGAAGACAUAUGCCACCAAAUCCUGGAUCUUUACUCACAAGGAAAACAACAGAUGCCUCAUCACACCCCCCAUCAGCUGCAACAGCCCCCAUCUCUUCAGCCUACACCACAAGUGCGGCAAGUACAACAGUCACAACCGUCUCAAGGCUCCGAACCAACCCUGCCCCAGCAGAAGGACCCCCAGCAACCAGCCCAGCAGCAGCAGCCAGACCAGCAGCCCAAGAAACCCUCUCCACAGCCCAGUUCUCCCCGACAGGUUAAGCAAGCCGUGGUUGUGUCUCCCAAAGAAGAUAACAAAGCAGCAGAACCAUCACCACCUAAAAUUCCCAAGAUUGAGACCACUCACCCACCGUUGCCUCCAGCCCACCCACCUCCAGACCGGAAGCCUCCCCUUGCUGCUGCCUCACGUGAGGCUGAGCCACCAGGCCCUGUGGAUGCCACUGACCUCCCCAAAGUCUGGACUCCUCCUCCGGCCACUGCUGCCACACUGGCCCUCGCCCUUACCCACCUCUAGCUACAUAACUGGGAUGCCCACCACCAGCUCCUACAUGUCUGGAGAGGGCUGGCUACCAGAGCGUGCAGUUCAUGAUGAAGGCUGAGGGGCCCUCCUACAGCGCCCUGCCCCCUGCCUAUGGCCCGCCCACAUACCCCAUGUCUACCCGCCCAACCCACCCCUGCCGCCUGUGCCUCCUCCCCCGGCCUCCUUCCCCCUACCUGCCAUCCCACCCCCUACUCCUGGCUACCCUCCACCCCUACCCACCUAUAACCCCAACUUCCCACCCCCACUCCAGCACCUGCCCCCUACCCACGCAGUCCCCCCUCACCCUCCUCCAGGCUUGGGCCUGUCACCAGCUAGCUACCCACCUCCUAUUGUGCCCCCUGGAGAACAGCUCCCUGUGCCCCCACCCAUUCCCCUACCCAGCAUGCCUCCAGUUGGGGGGCUGGGGCGGGCAGCCUGGAUGAGAUAA